GCAAGAUGUAAGACCAGCUAGCUCUAGCAAACACGCUAAAACAGUGAGGACAUCCCUAUUUAUCAUGAAUGAACCCGACAUGCAUUUCACCUGCCACAAUAGGAUCAUCAGGAGUGCUUAACAAGCAGUGUGGCAGCAUCACCAAUGACACAGGACUAGGGAGACUAUAAUAGUGACCACUAGUGAUCAGACUACUCUUCUUUGACCUGAUCUAUACUUAUUUAUUUUUUUUCUAAU